CGACUGCUAAUACCGCAUAACGUAUCGGGAUGGCAUCUUCCUGAUACCAAAGAUUUUAUCGCUUAGAGAUGGGCUCGCGUCUGAUUAGAUAGUUGGCGGGUAACGGCCCACCAAGUCGACGAUCAGUAGCCAGACUGAGAGGUUGAACGGCCACAUUGGGACUGAGACACGGCCCAAACUCCUACGGGAGGCAGCAUG
rnacentral:rRNA from 1 species